GUAUUUUUAUGAUUUGCCCUCCAAACGUCAAUUCAAAGUAAACAAAUAAUUCUGAAAUUGGUAGCAUGGAUCGUUUACAAGAUUUUUUUAAUAACUGGUGUUUUGUUUUAAAUUUAUUCCCGUGCCAUUAAACAAUUUUAAUGCCAGUGUUGUAUAGUUCUGUCAAAACGGUUACAAAAUGAUCAGGGAUCGGUCGGUAAAGUUGGCGCACGUCCUGUCUCGACGCAAGUCCAUAGAGGAAGAGGAGACUUAUGACACGAAAAUAAGACUUAAGAGAGUCCUCGGCCUGAUGGACCUCACGUUUUUGGGAAUUGGCAGCACUCUGGGACUUGGAGCUUACGUGUUGGCUGGGGCUGUGGCCAAGACUGAGGCUGGGCCUGCAGUAGUCCUUUCAUUUAUGGUGGCAGCUACAGCCUCUGCCUUCGCUGCCAUGUGCUAUGCGGAGUUCGCAGCCAGAGUGCCCCAGGCUGGCUCAGCCUAUGUCUACAGCUACGUCACUGUCGGGGAGUUGGCAGCCUUCAUCAUCGGCUGGGAUCUUGUUCUAGAAUACGUCAUUGGUGCCGCCAGCCUAGCUCGAGGCCUCAGUAACUACAUAGACUCUUUGCUUGGCAAGGCGAUGAGUAAAUAUCUCCUGGAACAUCUGCCACUCCACGUGUCAUUCCUCAGUCCUUAUCCAGACUUCUUGACCUUCUUCCUCAUCGUGACCGUGGCAGGUCUCAUUGCUUGGGGAGUAAAAGAAUCGACUUUGCUGAAUAACAUCUUCACGACGGUCAACUUGCUUACACUGACUACCGUCAUUGUUGCGGGCUCUUUCUACAUUGAUAAGAACAACUGGUCCCUUGAAAAGGACGAAAUACCGGAAAAGGAUGAUUUUGGUAAACCUGUUCGUGGAGGGGAAGGAGGUUUUAUGCCAUUCGGAGUCUCGGGCGUCAUGGCAGGAGCGGCCACCUGUUUCUACGGCUACGUGGGGUUUGAUGGGAUUGCGACUACAGGUGAAGAAGCCAAGAACCCAAGACGAAACAUUCCUCUGGCAAUCCUGAUGUCUCUGAUUGUCAUUACCAUUGCUUACAUCGGUGGAGCUUGCAUCCUCACGCUGAUGUUACCUUAUUACCUACAGGAUGAAGAUGCUCCCUUGCCCCAUGUGUUUGACCAUGUAAAUCUUAGCCCUGUCAGAUAUAUUGUGACAUUUGGAGCAAUUUUUGCCAUCAGCACCAGUCUGCUUUGCUGUGUAUUUCCGGUCCCUCGGGUCCUCUACUCAAUGGGCAGAGACAGACUGUUGUUCUCCCCAUUGUCUAAACUGAACUCCAAAACACAGACACCUGUGAUUGCCAUCACCUUUGCUGGGUUAUUAGCAGCUUUAACCGGUUCUCUCUUCAACUUGGAUCAGCUGAUAGACAUGAUGUCCAUCGGAACUCUGAUGGCUUACACGGUGGUCGCUGUGUGUGUCCUCAUACUCAGGUAUAAAGUAAGAGAAGGUGAAGAACAGCUAGAUGAAUCAUCAUCAUCGGAUGACGAUGAUGACGCAGGUGGUACAUCACAUCCUACACCUACUUCCGCUUCUGCGAGGAGAGCUUUCUGCGCACUUUCAGCCUAUAGUAGUCGUAUUAGCGCUGGCUACUUGCAUUACCCAUGUGAACGUUGAGAACCAAUUAGUGAAUGGAGAACUGUGGGCCAUUGUGACUCUCUUGGUAUUGGUUCUUCUCUUGGUCAUUACUAUACUGAUAAUGUGCUGCCAGCCCAAGAAUCGAGAGAGACUCUCAUUCAACGUUCCUAUGCUGCCCUUGAUUCCUUGCAUCAGCAUCUUCGUCAAUUUGUACUUGAUGGCCAAGCUGGACAGGCAUACUUGGAUGAGAUUCCUCUUCUGGCUCGUCAUAG
rnacentral:misc_RNA from 1 species